rnacentral:rRNA from 1 species
AGAUUGAACGCUGGCGGCAGGCCUAACACAUGCAAGUCGAGCGGCAGCACGGGUACUUGUACCUGGUGGCGAGCGGCGGACGGGUGAGUAAUGCCUAGGAAUCUGCCUGGUAGUGGGGGAUAACGCUCGGAAACGGACGCUAAUACCGCAUACGUCCUACGGGAGAAAGCAGGGGACCUUCGGGCCUUGCGCUAUCAGAUGAGCCUAGGUCGGAUUAGCUAGUUGGUGAGGUAAUGGCUCACCAAGGCGACGAUCCGUAACUGGUCUGAGAGGAUGAUCAGUCACACUGGAACUGAGACACGGUCCAGACUCCUACGGGAGGCAGCAGUGGGGAAUAUUGGACAAUGGGCGAAAGCCUGAUCCAGCCAUGCCGCGUGUGUGAAGAAGGUCUUCGGAUCGUAAAGCACUUAAGUUGGAGAAGGCAGUAAAUUAAUACUUUGCUGUUUGACGUUACCGACUAAGAAUAAGCACCGGCUAACUCUAGUGA